rnacentral:tRNA from 1 species
GGCCGGUUGGCCCAAUGGCAAGGCGUCUGACUACGAUUAAUCGUGUGCAAUCAGGAGAUUCUGGGUUCGACCCCCAGGCUGGUCA